rnacentral:rRNA from 1 species
AUACGGAGGAUGCGAGCGUUAUCCGGAUUUAUUGGGUUUAAAGGGAGCGUAGGUGGGAUAUUAAGUCAGCUGUGAAAGUUUGGGGCUCAACCUUAAAAUUGCAGUUGAUACUGGUUUCCUUGAGUACGGUACAGGUGGGCGGAAUUCGUGGUGUAGCGGUGAAAUGCUUAGAUAUCACGAAGAACUCCGAUCGCGAAGGCAGCUCGGCGGGCCGGAGCUGACACUGAUGCUCGAAAGUGCGGGUAUCAAACAGGAUUAGAUACCCUGGUAGUCCGCACAGUAAACGAUGAAUACUCGCUGUUUGCGAUACACGGUAAGCGGCCAAGCGAAAGCGUUAAGUAUUCCACCUGGGGAGUACGCCGGCAACGGUGAAACUCAAAGUAAUUGACGGGG